UACGAAGGGGGCUAGCGUUGCUCGGAAUCACUGGGCGUAAAGGGCGCGUAGGCGGCGUUUUAAGUCGGGGGUGAGAGCCUGUGGCUCAACCACAGAAUGGCCUUCGAUACUGGGACGCUUGAGUAUGGUAGAGGUUGGUGGAACUGCGAGUGUAGAGGUGAAAUUCGUAGAUAUUCGCAAGAACACCGGUGGCGAAGGCGGCCAACUGGACCAUCACUGACGCUGAGGCGCGAAAGCGUGGGGAGCAAACAGG
rnacentral:rRNA from 1 species